GAGCGGCAACAGCUCAAUUUGAAAGCUAGCCUUCGGGUUCGCAUUGUAAUUUGUAGAGGAUGCUUUGGGUAAAACGCCAGUCUAAGUUCCUUGGAACAGGACGUCAUAGAGGGUGAGAAUCCCGUAUGUGACUGGAAAUGUUAACCUAUGUAAAGCUCCUUCGACGAGUCGAGUUGUUUGGGAAUGCAGCUCUAAAUGGGAGGUAAAUUUCUUCUAAAGCUAAAUAUUGGCGAGAGACCGAUAGCGCACAAGUAGAGUGAUCGAAAGAUGAAAAGCACUUUGGAAAGAGAGUUAAAAAGCACGUGAAAUUGUUGAAAGGGAAGCGCUUGCAAUCAGACUUGUUUAAACUGUUCGGCCGGUCUUCUGACCGGUUUACUCAGUUUGGACAGGCCAGCAUCAGUUUCGGCGGCCGGAUAAAGGCUCUGGGAAUGUGGCCUCCACUUCGGUGGAGGUGUUAUAGCCCAGUGUGUAAUACGGCCAGCCGGGACUGAGGUCCGCGCUUCGGCUAGGAUGCUGGCGUAAUGGUUGUAAGCGACCCGUCUU
rnacentral:rRNA from 1 species